GGCAACUUGGCCGAGUGGUUAAGGCGACACACCCGGGGAUCCAUCCCUCGCCUCUACACAAGGUGUAUUGCGUUCUCAAAAGGGGCGUGAGUUCGGAUCUCACAGUUGUCA